rnacentral:sRNA from 1 species
UGGUCGAACCACCUUGUCGGACUGCGC